rnacentral:rRNA from 1 species
UACGUAGGGUGCAAGCGUUAAUCGGAAUUACUGGGCGUAAAGCGUGCGCAGGCGGUGAUGUAAGACAGUUGUGAAAUCCCCGGGCUCAACCUGGGAACUGCAUCUGUGACUGCAUCGCUGGAGUGCGGCAGAGGGGGAUGAAAUUCCGCGUGUAGCAGUGAAAUGCGUAGAUAUGCGGAGGAACACCGAUGGCGAAGGCAAUCCCCUGGGCCUGCACUGACGCUCAUGCACGAAAGCGUGGGGAGCAAACAGG